UACGAAGGGGGCUAGCGUUGUUCGGAAUCACUGGGCGUAAAGGGCUCGUAGGUGGCCAACUAAGUCGGACGUGAAAUCCCUCGGCUUAACCGGGGAACUGCGUCCGAUACUGGUUGGCUUGAGUUUGGAAGAGGCGAGUGGAAUUCCCGGUGUAGCGGUGAAAUGCGCAGAUAUCGGGAGGAACACCGAUGGCGAAGGCAAUCCCCUGGGCCUGCACUGACGCUCAUGCACGAAAGCGUGGGGAGCAAACAGG
rnacentral:rRNA from 1 species